CUGAUUGGGAAACUCGUCAAUUAUUCAUGAAAUACCGAGACACAGCUUAGCCAACCGAUGGCGGGCCACACCGGCAGUAAAAUGCCGGGCCUUCGCGCCGGUGGAUUACAAAGGAUGGCGAGCACUCAAAUCCUGUCAUUUCGGAGUUUCAUCGCAUCCUUUGAUGUGGCUUUC
rnacentral:sRNA from 1 species